UUAAUUUCCUUACUUUAGUAUUUCAUUAUUAUUAUUCUUUUAAACUUUUAAAUUAUUAUUUCAAUUACUUUAAUGGCAGAAAAAAAAACUGAAAUUAAAUUUGAAUAAGGAAUAGAAAAUUGAAUUAGAAAAAAAACAUCGAUAAAUUUUGUCCUACCUGAGCACCCCUAUUUCCACCUAAAUUGCACCUCAAAAGACAGCAGCCGUUACUCCAUCGCAACAAUCCACCUCGCGACACCCCACAUCGCGAGCCGUCUGUCAGUACGAUAGUAUUGGUACGAUGUAGACUCCCGACGCCAACGAAGGAAUAAAACUGCUCGUCAUCGUGGAGCAGGGAUCAAUAGUGAACGCCUAGUAUGGCUUUGUGACACCAGUCCAGCUUGGUUGAACCAGCACGUGCAAGAGAAGCCGCCGGUGUGCCAGAUUCCUGUUGGCCCGGCAGACACGGAGAAAUCUUGCGGAGUGAAACGGAUGGAUUGCCGGUGUGCCAGAUUCUACUUGGCCCGGCCACCCGCAGAAGUGCAAGUUGUGUAAUAAAACGCCAAGAAGAACAGAAGAAGCCAGUGUCUCGAUUUAGGCGUGGUAGUGAAGUGAUCGGAGGAAUUACCGGCGCGCCAGACCCAAUUUGGCCCGGUCGUCCGUACCAACAACAUCCAGACGGGAAUCUCCGGUGUGCCAGACCCUACUUGGCUCGGUUGCCCGUUCCGACAGUCCGACGAAGAAGCCGCAGUGUACCCGUACCAGCAUCCAAACGGGAAUCCCCGGUGUGCCAGACCCUACUUGGCCCGGUCGCCCGUUCCGACAACCCGACGAAGAAGCCGCAGUGUACCCUUUCAGUAUGGCGCUGGACCCGAGUGAACGGCUGAAGACACUCGCUGGUCAUUCCGGCGAGCCCAGGAUCUAAACCGUCGGGACGACUCUCACCGACUAGUUUUGAAGGUCACCUGAAGGACGAGAGAGGUCCCAUGUUCGAACCAGGAUCGAGCAGCCUUUGGUCGGUAAUGUGCAUUAUUUCCUUACUUUUCCCAUAUCCUUCAUUGAACUUUUGAUUUGAAUCUAACGAGCAUGAAUAUAAACCCGAAAUGUUAAAUUAACUAGCCUGCAGUGUUGGAAAUUAUUAUAUAACCGCUGAGCCCUAAAAUCAACCAUCUUUCGUGUCUAGUCUACCUUGCCAGUUUUUUUUAGGGGAAGAUUGUCCGUAAUCCAUCCAAUUUCCUCGUCGGAGCCAUAGUGAACGACCC